UACGAAGGGGGCUAGCGUUGCUCGGAUUUACUGGGCGUAAAGGGCGCGUAGGCGGACAGUUAAGUUGGGGGUGAAAGCCCGGGGGCUCAACCUCGGAAUUGCCUUCAAUACUGGCUGUCUUGAGUGUGAGAGAGGUGUGUGGAACUCCGAGUGUAGAGGUGAAAUUCGUAGAUAUCGGAAGAACACCAGUGGCGAAGGCGAACACACUGGCUCACUACUGACGCUGAGGCGCGAAAGCGUGGGGAGCAAACAGG
rnacentral:rRNA from 1 species